rnacentral:rRNA from 1 species
AAUAGAUACCCCGGUAGUCCACGCCGUAAACGGUGGGCACUAGGUGUGGGCGACAUUCCACGUCGUCCGUGCCGCAGCUAACGCAUUAAGUGCCCCGCCUGGGGAGUACGGCCGCAAGGCUAAAACUCAAAGGAAUUGACGGGGGGCCCGCACAAGCGGCGGAGCAUGUGGCUUAAUUCGACGCAACGCGAAGAACCUUACCAAGGCUUGACAUACACCGGAAACGUCCAGAGAUGGGCGCCCCCUUGUGGUCGGUGUACAGGUGGUGCAUGGCUGUCGUCAGCUCGUGUCGUGAGAUGUUGGGUUAAGUCCCGCAACGAGCGCAACCCUUGUCCCGUGUUGCCAGCAGGCCCUUGUGGUGCUGGGGACUCACGGGGAGACCGCCGGGGUCAACUCGGAGGAAGGUGGGGACGACGUCAAGGUCAUCGAUGCCCCUUAUGUCUUGGGCUGCACACGUGCUACAAUGGCCGGUACAAUGAGCUGCGAUACCGCGAGGUGGAGCGAAUCUCAAAAAGCCGGUCUCAGUUCGGAUUGGGGUCUGCAACUCCG